UUGACCUCAAAUCAGGUGGGACUACCCGCUGAACUUAAGCAUAUCAAUAAGCGGAGGAAAAGAAACUAACAAGGAUUCCCCUAGUAACUGCGAGUGAAGCGGGAAAAGCUCAAAUUUAAAAUCUGGCGGUCUCCGGCCGUCCGAGUUGUAGUCUGGAGAAGCGUUUUCCGCGUUGGACCGUGUACAAGUUUCCUGGAACGGAGCGUCAUAGAGGGUGAGAAUCCCGUCUUUGACACGGACCCCAAUGCUUUGUGAUGCGCUCUCAAAGAGUCGAGUUGUUUGGGAAUGCAGCUCAAAAUGGGUGGUGAAUUCCAUCUAAAGCUAAAUAUUGGCGAGAGACCGAUAGCGAACAAGUACCGUGAGGGAAAGAUGAAAAGCACUUUGGAAAGAGAGUUAAACAGUACGUGAAAUUGUUGAAAGGGAAACGCUUGAAGUCAGUCGCGUCGGCCGGGACUCAGCCUUGCAUUCGCUUGGUGUACUUUCCGGUCGACGGGCCAGCAUCAGUUUUGACCGCGAGACAAAGGCGGAGGGAAUGUGGCUCUUUCGGGAGUGUUAUAGCCCUUCGUCGCAUGUCGCGGACGGGACUGAGGACCGCAGCACGCCUUUAUGGCCGGGGUUCGCCCACGUACGUGCUUAGGAUGCUGGCGUAAUGGCUUUAAACGACCMGUCUUGAAACACGGACCAAGGAGUCUAACAUGCCUGCGAGUGUUCGGGUGGAAAACCCGUGCGCGUAAUGAAAGUGAAAGUUGGGAUCCCUGUCGUGGGGUGCACCGACGCCCGGACCAGACCUUUUGUGACGGAUCUGCGGUAGAGCAUGUAUGUUGGGACCCGAAAGAUGGUGAACUAUGCCUGAAUAGGGUGAAGCCAGAGGAAACUCUGGUGGAGGCUCGUAGCGAUUCUGACGUGCAAAUCGAUCGUCAAAUUUGGGUAUAGGGGCGAAAGACUAAUCGAACCAUCUAGUAGCUG
rnacentral:rRNA from 1 species